rnacentral:rRNA from 1 species
UACGUAGGGUGCAAGCGUUAAUCGGAAUUACUGGGCGUAAAGCGUGCGCAGGCGGUGAUGUAAGACAGAUGUGAAACCCCCGGGCUUAACCUGGGAACUGCGCUUGUAACUGGCAAGCUAGAGUGUGGCAGAGGGGGGUGGAAUUCCACGUGUAGCAGUGAAAUGCGUAGAGAUGUGGAGGAACACCGAUGGCGAAGGCAGCCCCCUGGGCUAACACUGACGCUCAUGCACGAAAGCGUGGGGAGCAAACAGG